rnacentral:ncRNA from 1 species
GGUGGAAGCAAAUAUUGAAAUGAUAACGUUGAAGGUCAAGAUGGAGAAAGGUUUAAUUUAAAAAGCAGUUAAACAUGGGUCAGUCGACCACGAGGGAAAUAGGGGAGGGCGGUUCUGAAGCGUGGUGAUGUUCGCGUCGCCUGGUGGACCGAAAGGGAAUCGGGUUAAUUUUUUCAAACUCGACGCGGAAAUUGCCGCUCCGGCGACUACUGCAACAAAGCAAACGAACUCGGAGACGUGGUUCCAUGGAAAAGUUAUUUUUUAGUAAGUGGUGGGGACUAUGUAAUCGGUUAGCCCGGAGAUGAUGUUCGGUGAGCUCGCGUCGGCCCUUGAAAAUCCGAGAUGGUUUAAUUUUCGUUCGAGGUUGUACCCAUAUUCGAAGCAGGUCUCCAAGGUGACCAACAUCAGGCC